rnacentral:rRNA from 1 species
CACGUAGGCACCAAGCGUUGUCCGGAUUUAUUGGGCGUAAAGAGCUCGUAGGCGGUUCGGUAAGUCGGGUGUGAAAUCUCUGGGCUCAACCCAGAGGGGCCACCCGAUACUGCUGUGACUAGAGUGCGGUAGGGGAGUGGGGAAUUCCUGGUGUAGCGGUGAAAUGCGCAGAUAUCAGGAGGAACACCGGUGGCGAAGGCGGCAUCCUGGACCGGCAUUGACGCUGAGGCGCGAAAGCCAGGGGAGCAAACGGG